CAUGGGUAUGAUACGACCUGGGUU
rnacentral:miRNA from 1 species